GGAGCGAUACUCAAGAGGCUGAAGAGGACGGUUUCGAAAACCGUUAGAGGAGAAAUCCUGCCAGGGUUCAAAUCCCUGUCGCUCCGCCA
rnacentral:tRNA from 1 species